UUCGGUUAAGUCCGCUAACGAGCGCAACCCUCGCUGUGUGUUACAAGUGUCACACGGAACUGCCGGUCAUAAACCGGAGGAAGGUGGGGAUGACGUCAAGUCAGCAUGGCCUUUAUAUCCUGGGCUACACACACGCUACAAUGGGAAGGGACAAUAGGUUGCGAAGCCGCGAGGCGGAGCCAAUCCAGCAAAACUUCCCUCAGUUCAGAUUGCAGGCUGCAACUCGCCUGCAUGAAGUUGGAGUUGCUAGUAAACGCAGGUCAGCCAUACUGCGUUGAAUACGUUCCCGGGGGCUU
rnacentral:rRNA from 1 species